GGAGCUGGUAUCAGGCACAUCUUUUUGAGCCCACGACGCCUUGCUUAGCCACACCCCCAAGGGAAUUCAGCAGUGACAAACAUUAAGCUAUAAGUGAAAACUUGACUUAGUUAAAGCUAAGAGGGCCGGUAAAACUCGUGCCAGCCACCGCGGUUAUACGAGAGGCCCAAGUUGAUGAAUUCCGGCGUAAAGAGUGGUUAAGCUAAAAUUAAAACUAAAGUCGAACGCCCCCAAAGCUGUUAUACGCAUCCGGAGGUGAGAAGUUCAACCACGAAGGUGGCUUUAUUUAACCUGAACCCACGAAAGCUACGGCACAAACUGGGAUUAGAUACCCCACUAUGCCUAGCCCUAAACAUUGAUAGAAUUUUACAACCACUAUCCGCCCGGGGACUACAAGCAUCAGCUUGAAACCCAAAGGACUUGGCGGUGCUUUAGAUCCACCUAGAGGAGCCUGUUCUAGAACCGAUAACCCCCGUUCAACCUCACCUCCCCUUGUUAAUACC
rnacentral:rRNA from 1 species